AGAGAAAUUAUUUUGUUUUGUAAACCUUCUUCAUCUCUCUAUUACUCCUUAUUUACCAAAACUAAUCAACCUUCCUUAUCUCUUUAUUUUGCCGCUACAAUCUAAAUCUGUUUGAAACAAAAAACUUCUUCCCAAGAAACCCGAAACCCCUUUUCUUCAUAAUCAGAAAACGUGUUCUCUCUGUCAAAAAAAAAAAAAAAAACCCUUCUUUUUUAUCAUCACAAUCAGAAAACCCUAACUCUCCAUCGAAGAUCAAAAGGUAUGAAUCUAAUUUUUCCAGUUUCAUACUUGUCAAGACUAUUAUUCCUUAGUAACAGAAAUCAUUUGAAGACUAAUAGAAAUCAGUGAAGAUGUUUCGGUUGGAUGAUAUUCUUCAAUUAGGAAUUGUUGAUUUUGGGUUUGAUUUUGAAGUUGGGGCUUCAAAAAAAAAAUAAAAAAAUCGGGGGUUUUGUUGUUUGCAGAUUUGGGUUUGAUAUUGAAGUUGUUUCUUACAAGGCAUCAGCUCCGGCUCAUAGAAGAGUUAAGGAAAGUCAUCUUAUUUCUGAUGCCAUCUUCAGACAGAGUCAUCAUGCUGGUUUGUCCAAUCUCUGUAUUGGUGUACUGGUCGCAGUCAAAAGAAGACUUAUUACUGAAAAUUUAAUGAAGGUUUGAUUCAACUGUUGUGUCUGGUGACACUAAUGGUUUUUGCUAGUGUUGUCUGGUUUAAGUUGGUGUCAUAUGCACAUACAAAUUACGAUAUGAGGGCUCUUUCCAAGUCCAGCGACAAGAUGGAAGAGCACCUGAGCCAAGCUGGUGUCGAUACAACUAACAACAAAUGGAACGAAAUGCUUGUUUUGGGUGUGGUGGAUCCAAACAAUUCAUUAUCUCAUCCGGCAGGGUCAUUGAUGUUCAAGCUAAUUCUGCUACGUGCUUAGAUUCUGAUCAUUUUGCCAACUUCUUGGUGAAAACCCGGGCAAAGCUUCUGAAUGCCUUUUGUACUGAAAGCUGGAACUUGAAUUAAUCUACAAAGUCUAAAUCCAAUGUUAUGAGGACACCUAGCUGAUGAAGUUAUUCCCUGAAAUUGUUCGAAACAUCUGUGACCAGGACGUGCUUGCAGAAGAUAAGAUUCUUCAAUGAUUCCGCUAAGGAUUCAACCUCAAGGGAAGUGUUGCAGAGGGAAAAAACCUUGUGUUGUCGGUUACAUCUGUCAUAGGAAAGGAGCAGAUCUGUAUCGUUAAGGACAUUUCUAUCAAAAUAGAAAAUGACCUUUAGACUUUAUUACUACAGUAUAUGUUCGUUACUUCAUAUGGGAUAAGAGGUGAACUAUAACUUGUAGUCCCCAAGAAAUUGAUGUGCUGAGGAAAACUAAUGUUCUUAUUACUCCAACAAAAGCUACUAGCACUGGAGGGGUUCAAAGGUCUUGCAGCUGAUGAUGGUAGAUUACUACCUUCGGGACAGGUAGGGAGAUAAGUCUUAUUGGAAUCCUGCGCGGUGCUCAGGGUUGUGUUGUACUUGACAGAGAUGGGUUCACAGCAAAGAAACAAACACAUCUCUCUGAUAUUGUGAGGCGGCUCCAACAAAGAAAGUUGAUUCAACAUCUCAUUGUAAACUAGGGUAUUUAGACUUGCACUUGUCUUUAAGAAUUGUCUUUAAGAAACAAGUGAACCUAUCAGCUAAGACUUGUAUUGGUGCAAAUUCAGGAUUUUUUUUUGUUUUUUUUUCCUGAUUUUGAAGCUAAGUGCAGGUUUCAUUUCAUUGAAAUUUUGCAAU